AUACUUUUACCAAACCAUUUGUUCAUUAGUCUGUCAUGUGAAACAAUCAGUUACUUCAGUACUUUUCCAGAUAUGUUUUUAUUAUAAACUGUAGAAGAACCGUUAAGAACCAUGGCUUGUUGUGGACCAUCUGUAUUUUGUGGGUCCUGUCAUUUAAACCAUUGUUGUACUGACUUUCAUUAUCCUCAUCAUCGAAUACACUGUGGUUCAUCGCGAUUUGGAUGUCAUGGAAAUUGUUGUAGCCUUGCAACUUGUCAUGGCCUGAGUCAUGCGGUCAACUCAGCUAUUGCUGAAAGAAAUCAUUACAGGAAUCUUGAGUCCUAUCAUCGUUCUUUGUCACAAUCCUAUCACCACCGAGCUGCCUCAAUCCAACGUCAUUUUUCAUUUUAAAACUAGGGAAGAGUAGAAUGUUGGCUACUCCGGGGUUUAUGAAAAAAAUAAUUUUGAAUAGUUAGGCUUAUAUAACUCCAUACAUAUAUAUAUUUUUUUUUUUUUUUCAUAUUUGAAUUAUGUCACUAGAAUCCAUUGAUUCUGAAUUUGUAUUGAUCUAGUUUAUCUUAUUAUUCAACAAUUAUUUUAUCACAAAAAUAUUAUUCAUCAUAAUAAUAAGUAGAACGAAGGAAAACUGUGGAAAUGGGUUUAAAUAAGAAUUGUUAGAAAAGUCUUUAUGAUUUUUGUUUAUUCGAAAUAUAAGUUUUAGAUGAACUUUA
rnacentral:lncRNA from 1 species